rnacentral:lncRNA from 1 species
CAGGAAGAAGGAAAGGACAGUAGAAGGCAGGGAACAGUAGAAGGCAGGGACACAGAGAAGGGGACAGUGACACAGUAGAAGGCAGGGACACAGAGAAGGAAGGGACACAGUAGAAGGGACACAGUAGAAGGAAGGGAGACAGUAGAAGGAAAGGACACAGUAGAAGGAAGGGAACACAGUAGAAGGCGGAACAGUAGAAGGCAGGGACACAGAGAAGGAAGGGACACAGUAGAAGGCAGAAGGGACACAGUGGAGGCCGAGGGACACAGUAGUAGAAGGCCAGGGACACAGAGAAGGAGGGACACAGUAGAAGAGAAGAAGGGACAAAGUAGAAGGCAGGGACACCGAGAAGGACGGGAAGAGAGGAGAGGAAGGGACACAGUGAAGGAAGGGACACAGUAGAAGGAAGGGACACAGUAGAAGGCAGGGACACAGUAGAAGGCAGGGACACAGUAGAAGGCAGGGACACAGUAGAAG